rnacentral:rRNA from 1 species
GACGAACGCUGGCGGCGUGCCUAAUACAUGCAAGUCGAGCGAAGUUUUUCUGGUGCUUGCACUAGAAAGACUUAGCGGCGCACGGGUGAGUAACACGUAAAGAACCUGCCUCAUAGACUGGGACAACUAUUGGAAACGAUAUCUAAUACCGGAUAACAGCAUUAACUGCAUGGUUGAUGUUUAAAAGUUUGUUUUGCUAACACUAUGAGAUGGCUUUGCGGUGCAUUAGCUAGUUGGUGGGGUAAAGGCCUACCAAGGCGACGAUGCAUAGCCGACCUGAGAGGGUGAUCGGCCACACUGGGACUGAGACACGGCCCAGACUCCUACGGGAGGCAGCAGUAGGGAAUCUUCCGCAAUGGGCGAAAGCCUGACGGAGCAACGCCGCGUGAGUGAAGAAGGAUUUCGGUUCGUAAAGCUCUGUUGUUAGGGAAGAAUGAUUGUGUAGUAACUAUACACAGUAGAGACGGUACCUAAUCAGAAAGCCACGGCUAACUACGUG